rfam:Daphnia pulex DAPPTscaffold_686_Cont10642, whole genome shotgun sequence.
GCAUCGAUGGUUCAGUGGUAGAAUGCUCGGCUGCCAAGCGGGCGGCCCGGGUUCGAUUCCCGGUCGAUGGA